rnacentral:lncRNA from 1 species
GCGACGUGCCGAGAAUCCGGCCGGCCCCGCGCCGAUCAGGCUGCGGGCCGGGCCCGGUGUCGGGGUGGGCAGGGCCCUGGCCGACCCUUCCCGGCCAGAGACCCCGCGGCUUCGUCCACACCUUGACUUUCCGAGGGAACGCGGGGACACAGGGGCCCCAAGGCAGUUGGGGGCGCCCCGGGGCCCGGGGCACCUGGAGAUGCGCGGCUCCCUCCCGGCAGAGGAGGGCGGGCUCGCCCGCUCCCGGGGCAGGAGGUGGACGGAGGAGCCCCAGUCCCAGCUCAGACGGGUUCCCUCGCCACCUUCCGGACAAAGUGUCAAGUACAAGUUCAAGUUCAGGGCCAAGCCCAGGGGGUAGGGGCGAGCCUUCCCCGGCCUCCUUUGUUCUUCGAGAUAAUCGCUCCCAAAUCCCCUCCGGGCGGGGCCCGGCAGACGCCCCCGCCCCGCCCCGCCCCGCCGCGCCCCGCAGGAGCCGCCUCCUCCCGCCCGCCGGCGCGGCGCCUGUCCCCUGGUCCCGGCGCCCCAUCUCGGGGCCGCCGAAGGGUCUGGGGGCUCCGGCGGGGGGGAGGCGCGAUCCGAGUCCGUGGGAGCCUCCCCAGCCCCGCAGUCCCAGCAGCAAACCAAGCUUGGCCGGACGGAUGCUCACGCCGAGAUGAGGAAACUGAGGUUCAAGGAAGUGAAGUGACUCGGCCAAGACCAAACGCGUAAAUAUUGGCAAAGUUGGAUUUAACCCCAAGUCUACCUGACUUGACCCUCACACAUCUGCUCUUCUCCCUGUGUCAAGAUGGCCAUGAACAAACCAAGGGUCACCCUUGGAUGUUGACAAGUGAAGACAGCUGUCUCUGGGC